rnacentral:rRNA from 1 species
GACAGAGGGUGCAAACGUUUGUUCGGAAUUACUGGGCGUAAAGCGCGUGUAGGCUGCUCUGCAAGUCGGAUGUGAAAGCCCUGGGCUCAACCUAGGAAGUGCACUCGAAACUGCCGAGCUGGAGUCCUGGAGAGGAAGGCGGAAUUCUCGGUGUAGAGGUGAAAUUCGUAGAUAUCGAGAGGAACACCGGUGGCGAAGGCGGCCUUCUGGACAGUGACUGACGCUGAGACGCGAAAGCGUGGGGAGCAAACAGG